rnacentral:lncRNA from 1 species
AUUAUAACUUUAAAACAUUCAUCUCUUUCACAUCAGAGAUCAUCCUAAGUUAUAUGUAGGUUUAAAAGCAUUUUAAAGUAUGUUCUAUUUAAUAUAAACCUGCUAUCUAAAAGAUUUUUCAUAUUUUGUGUUUCAAACCUCUCAUAAAAUUUUUUGUGUUUUUCUGCCAUAGUCACUGUGUAUAAAGAUAUUUCUGACAUAACGGGUUUCUAGUACAUAUUUUUAAUCAUAAAUCAUUCCAUCAGGUACUACUGAGAUUUUUCUUUGAGUUUUUUUCCAAAUGAAAUGUCAAUCCAUCUGUUUUUACAUAAAGUAGAUAUUUAUAUUUAAUUUUAAAGUUUAAUUUAUUUUAUAUACCUGUUCAUGCUUGUUUUCUCCUUCCAACACAUGCAUGCUGGGGAUUGAACCUUUCCUGCUGGGCUAUCCCCAGGCCCCGAAGUAGGGAUUUAUGACAUGAAGUCUACUUUGGUGGUACAUUUCACUGCAGACAUAUGCUCUUCCCAUGUUAGUGUCUCCUUAGGAGCUUCUAUUAGGCAGAUUUUGAAAAUAUUAAUUAGGUGGGGUCAAGAGCUAUACUUGAAAGCAAAACAUACUUCUAUGGCUGUAGCCCUCAAAAGUAAGUGAUAUGCCCUCUUUGUUGUAUAUUCGUGAGUGACAUUUCCAUAUCUACUUGGAAAUAUUCACAUUUUAGAGGUCUUAUGGUGCUUAUGAUUUUUCAGACAGUAUUUGAUACUGUUGUGGCUUGUGGCAUAUAACAAAUGACUCCAGGAGAGGUAAGAGAUUCUUUUGGGUUCAUUUUCGUAAUGAGAAGAGUGAAUUAUUUCACAGAAGUAAUGAGAGUGAAUUUUAGAAUGAAAUUAUUACUUACUCUUUACUAGAAAUAUUGACAUUAACUUACUUUCACCCCCUUUUAUUAGCAUUAUAUAUAGAUGUGGAAUCUGAUUUUCAUGCUAAAGUUCCUGUUGUGGUGUGCAAAGAUCGGAAAAGGUUGGUAAUGAAGAAAAUAAGGUAUUUAUAAAAACUAACAAAAGCCUGUAUGGCUCAGGAGAUGGCUCAGUGGGUAAAGGGCUUGCUGCACAAACACGAGACCUGAGGACUUGAGUUUGGAUCCCCAGCACCUAGAUAACAAGCUGGGUCAUCUUCCUGGAAAAAACAGGAAGUUUCUAGGGACAUGCUGGGCAGCCAGCUUAUCUAAAAUGUUGAGCUUCAGGUUUAGUGAGAGACCCUGUUUCAAAUAGGAACAUAAAGAACAGUAGUCAGAGAUACCCACAAUUUAUGUACCUCUGCUUAUUAUACACAUGUGUGACUGUAUCUGUCCAUGUUUGUGAAUAUAUACAUAAACAUGUACAUACACUUGCAAGAACAUAUUCACAUGCAUAUGCACACUCACCCCAGGGUCAGCAAGAUGGCUCAUUUGCCACAUAAAUCUGACAAAUUGAGUUCUAUUCCUUGGAUUCCAUAUAAGCCAUUAAUCAUAAACACUUACAUGGUAUUUACACAGGGUUCCCUCCCCCCC